UACGUAGGUGGCAAGCGUUGUCCGGAAUUACUGGGUGUAAAGCGCGUGUAGGCGGGAGGCCAAGUCUGCUGUGAAAUCGCUCGGCUCAACUGGGCGAGGUCGGUGGAAACUGGUCACCUGGAGGACGGUAGAGGCGAGCGGAAUUCCCGGUGUAGUGGUGAAAUGCGUAGAGAUCGGGAGGAACACCAGUGGCGAAGGCGGCUCGCUGGGCCGGUCCUGACGCUGAGACGCGAAGGCGUGGGGAGCGAACGGG
rnacentral:rRNA from 1 species